GGCAGCAGUGAGGAAUAUUGGUCAAUGGACGAGAGUCUGAACCAGCCAAGUAGCGUGAAGGAUGACUGCCCUAUGGGUUGUAAACUUCUUUUAUAUGGGAAUAAAACGUUCCACGUGUGGGAUUUUGUAUGUACCAUAUGAAUAAGGAUCGGCUAACUCCGUGCCAGCAGCCGCGGUAAUACGGAGGAUCCGAGCGUUAUCCGGAUUUAUUGGGUUUAAAGGGAGCGUAGGUGGAUUGUUAAGUCAGUUGUGAAAGUUUGCGGCUCAACCGUAAAAUUGCAGUUGAAACUGGCAGUCUUGAGUACAGUAGAGGUGGGCGGAAUUCGUGGUGUAGCGGUGAAAUGCUUAGAUAUCACGAAGAACUCCGAUUGCGAAGGCAGCUCACUGGACUGCAACUGACACUGAGGCUCGAAAGUGUGGGUAUCAAACAGGAUUAGAUACCCUGGUAGUCCACACAGUAAACGAUGAAUACUCGCUGUUUGCGAUAUACAGCAA
rnacentral:rRNA from 1 species